AUGCCUUGCUGGGCCUUUUGCUAGGAUCAUAUCUGUUCUUAUCAGUUUAAUAUCUGAUAUGUGAGGCUUAUCCUCACAACGAUAUUAAAUUUAUAUUUAUUCACAUGUGCAACCAAA
rnacentral:snRNA from 1 species